rnacentral:rRNA from 1 species
AGUCGAACGAGCGAGAGAGAGCUUGCUUUCUCGAGCGAGUGGCGAACGGGUGAGUAACGCGUGAGGAACCUGCCUCAAAGAGGGGGACAACAGUUGGAAACGACUGCUAAUACCGCAUAAGCCCACGACCCGGCAUCGGGUAGAGGGAAAAGGAGUAAUCCGCUUUGAGAUGGCCUCGCGUCCGAUUAGCUAGUUGGUGAGGUAACGGCCCACCAAGGCAACGAUCGGUAGCCGGACUGAGAGGUUAAACGGCCACAUUGGGACUGAGACACGGCCCAGACUCCUACGGGAGGCAGCAGUGGGGAAUAUUGCACAAUGGGGGAAACCCUGAUGCAGCGACGCCGCGUGGAGGAAGAAGGUCUUCGGAUUGUAAACUCCUGUUGUUGAGGAAGAUAAUGACGGUACUCAACAAGGAAGUGACGGCUAACUACGUGCCAGCAGCCGCGGUAAAACGUAGGUCACAAGCGUUGUCCGGAAUUACUGGGUGUAAAGGGAGCGCAGGCGGGAAGACAAGUUGGAAGUGAAAUCCAUGGGCUCAACCCAUGAACUGCUUUCAAAACUGUUUUUCUUGAGUAGUGCAGAGGUAGGCGGAAUUCCCGGUGUAGCGGUGGAAUGCGUAGAUAUCGGGAGGAACACCAGUGGCGAAGGCGGCCUACUGGGCACCAACUGACGCUGAGGCUCGAAAGUGUGGGUAGCAAACAGGAUUAGAUACCCUGGUAGUCCACACCGUAAACGAUGAUUACUAGGUGUUGGAGGAUUGACCCCUUCAGUGCCGCAGUUAACACAAUAAGUAAUCCACCUGGGGAGUACGACCGCAAGGUUGAAACUCAAAGGAAUUGACGGGGGCCC